AUCAUUCAUCUCAUUCCUGUUGUUCAUCCCUUGUUGCACCUCAUCUUUGUGUUGCUGCCUUUAUUGAGCUUCUAUGAUCUGGCUUGGAUCUGAAGGUUUGUCGCUGGCGCUUAUUUCACUACCAUCGUUCAUCUCCUCGCCGCCUCUCAUCCCUUCGCCACUGCAAGCAACACCAUGUCACUGCUUUCAAGGGGCUUCUAUGAUCUGGAUCUAACUUUGAUCCGAAGGACUAUUAUAGUUUCAACUAGAAGUUGAAAUUCAUUAUGCACAUACCCUUUUAAAUUACAACAGAUGGUUGAAACUGAAAGUGGAUCCAAAAUUUUAGACAUCUGUGAAACUGAAAGUGGAUCCAAAAUUUUGACAACAUCCACUAAAAUUUUCAUUUCUAGAGAAAAUAGGUUGCUGGUUGAUACUUGUCCCUGCAAUCUCGUCUCGCAGCUUUGUUCUAUGGCAAUCAGACUUCAAGACUUCGACAAUCUUGGUUUUUCUUAGUAUAAAGAGGAUCAAUCAAAUAUCUUGGAUGUCAUUAAAUCAAAUCAGCUUAAAAAGCAAUUGAUUGAGGUUGAACAGUUCUGCCAAUCCGGUGGUAACAAUAGCAUUAAAGGAAGCUAGAUCAUUGGAGGAAGAAGCACAGGCCCAACUAGACCUGCAGCUUGCUCAGGAAACUGCUUAUGCCGAUUUGGCUAGGGAUUUAAGUAACGAGCUUGAAGAAGUUGACAUACAUUUGAAGAAUCUCAAAGAGAUGAUAAUUUAGAAGUGCAGAAAAGGAACAAGCCAAAGUGACAGAAUCUGUUGUUAGCAAAAGGGAUUUACGAUUGGAAGAGAUGGCUUCUUCAAAACCUAAGCAAGCACCAGAAGAAGUAAAAGCAAAGGUACUGGACAAGCAGGAGCAACUUUGUGAGUUCAGCCGUGCAUCUUUAGUUAGCAGGGAACGCGAAGAAUUCUUGAGGCUUGUCAAAAAGGAGUUCAGAUUGUGACACUGUUCAAGUUCAACUGCCCAAACAAUUCAACUACCCUUGACAUCGAAAGAGGCAAUCAUCCUAGCUUUGCACCCUACAGGUCCUUCCAGAUAAGUCUUCCUUGUUUCAUCAGCCUUUGAUUUGGCUCUACCCUCCCGGUUAUAGACAAGCAUAACAUAGUAUCAACCUCAUCGGCAUUCUUUUUUGAACUCCUAUUCCUCCAGUCAAAGCCAACUCUUCUCGCAUAGGUAUCGUAAAAUUGGAUUAUUGCAUUCAUAGACUCAAAUUUCAUGCCAACAACGAUAACAUCAUCACCAAUUUCUGAUUAACAUUCCAUGAUGGCACCUCAAUUGAUAACACACUUCCAAACUUCCCUUGAAAAAAAAAUCACGAUGGGGUUCAAAAAGUUAACAUCUAACCACAAAUGCGUGUACCAACAACAUAAACAGGAUCGAACAAAACGCAUUGAAUCAAAUAAAUACUCUUAAAUGCAACCAGAAGAAUUUACGUAAAAAACCAACAGACUACUUUGCAAAUCAACCAUGUUUUAGUCUAGGUAAUAACCGAAAACUCUGUCUCUAAACUAGAUUAAUAACUUACAAAAACAUUUUAACACUAUAUUGGUUGCAACUACCCUAAGUCGCAUCCAAAUCAGUUUCUUAGUUGGGUUUAACAAAUACUAAAAUUGGAAAAACAACUCUACUCUCUCACACGAGCUGUAUGACAUCAAUCUGAUAUUUCACACGAGCCAUGUGUAAGUCCUCUCCCGUGUGAUCUUUCACAUGGGCCAUGUGACAGCUCUCUGAUCUCCCACACGAGCCGUGUGACAGCUAUCUGAUCACACGGAACCCCCCGAUGUCCCAUCGAAUGGAACUCACAUCAAACAUGAACUAAAUUGAUGCAUCCCUAAACCAAAUACGAAUUAAAUUGAUGCAAGCCAAAAAUUAGCGGUGUAAAACUGCCUCGUGUUUCCUCCCACCGAAUGCUGUUAAUAAUCGAAAUGAAACUCCGAAAUCAUCAAAAUCCACUACAAGAAAAAUGCUAAGUACCGUCGGAUCUAUAAAAUAAAUUCGCCACUAAAUAGAUUACUGUUGGAUUUACCAUCGUCCUUGGAUUGACGGUAUAAAUGUAAUUGUUUACCGUCGGAUUUAUUUUGUCCGACGCUAAUUAUUGGCGGAUUUUUCGUCGGUCUUUUCAAUGGAUUUGGCGAGAUUGUGUUGAUGGUUACUAUCAGAUAAAUCUUACGAUAACUUUGGCACCAUUUAACGUGUUUAGGCGCCAUGUUACCGUCAGAUUUAUCCGACGGUAAUGUUAAUUUUAUAAACCCUAAAAUUUUUUGGCACAGUUAAGCUACAAUUAGGAGACUCUUGUUAACAAAAUUGUUAGCAGAAAUUUAACGUCGUCAGAAAUCAAGAAAUUAUUUUAUGAAAAAAUAAAUGGUUUGAAUGAAAUAAAAUGUCACAAAUGUAAAAUACAAUGAAGUAGACAAAUAAGAAUGAGUACAACCCUAAAUCCUAUUAAUUCCGGUAAUCGACGUCAUCAUCGUUGUGGUCCCCAUGCUGCAGCGGCAGAGGUAUUGCCGUUGGUACCUCACCAGCAGUGCCACUGCAUCCAGUUCGCAUCUGCUAGCUGUACUUCUCCAUCUGCUGUCGUAACCGAUCGAGCUGCUCCAACUUCUCCGUCGGGUCGGAGCUGAUGGCAACGCAUACAAGAAUCUCUCGAUACCUCUGCUCAGAUUGUUCUGCCUACUGGUGAAGCUCCUACGUUAGCUUCUGCACCACCUCCCAUAGGUCAACAACUUCGUGGGGAUCAGCACAGCUGGUGGCAGAAGCAGGCCCAUAGGAAGCCGCCAACAUGGAGGAGCGGAUGCCAUUGGCGAAGAACAACUCCAAUCCGAAGCGGCAAUUCUUGUGGGGUUCAGAGGCGGUCUUACGCCAAAUCCUAUUGGGAUGCACCACGGAGGUCUUAGAGCCAACUUUGUGGGCCCUACUAGGCAGCUAAGAUUGCUGGGUCGCGGCCUCCAACCUUUGCGUGUACUCCUCCUGUGUCACACGCGUUAGUUUAAUAAAACACUACACCAUGUACAUAUUGAGAUUGAAUGAAAUACUACGUCCUUCAUGUUGCAUUUCAUGAAUAAAUGAAUUAAAGUGAAUUUCUACAUAAGGUAUGUGAUGAGCGGAUAAUUUAUACGCUUUUUGGCAUUAUUUUUAGUAUGUUUUUAGUAUGUUUUAGUUAGUUUUUAUUAUUUUUUAUUAGUUUUUAGUUAAAAUUCACUUUUCUGGACUUUACUAUGAGUUUGUGUGUUUUUCUGUGAUUUCAGGUAUUUUCUGGCUGAAAUUGAGGGACCUGAGCAAAAAUCUGAUUCAGAGGCUGAAAAGGACUGCAGAUGCUGUUGGAUUCUGACCUCCCUGCACUCGAAGUAGAUUUUCUGGAGCUACAGAAGCUCAAUUGGCGCGAUCUCAACUGCGUUGGAAAGUAGAAUCCUGGGCUUUCCAGCAAUGUAUAAUAGUCUAUACCUUGCUCGAGAUUUGAUGGCCCAAACCGGCGUUCCAAGUCAGCUUAAGAAUUCUGGCGUUUAACGCCGGAACUGGCACAAGAAUGGGAGUUAAACGCCCAAACUGGCACAAAAGCUGGCGUUUAACUCCAAGAAAAGUCUCUACACAUGAAAGCUUCAAUGCUCAGCCCAAGCACACACCAAGUGGGCCCGGAAGUGGAUUUUUAUGUCAUUUACUCAUCUUUGUAAACCCUAAGCUACUAGUUCUCUACAAAUAGGACAUUUUGCUAUUGUAUUUUUUGAUCUUUUGAUCAUGUUUUUAUGAUUGAACCCUCCUUGGGAGGCUGGCCAUUCGGCUAUGCCUAGACCUUGUUCUUAUGUAUUUUCAACGGCGGAGUUUCUACACACCAUAGAUUAAGGUGUGGAGCUCUGCUGUACCUCGAGUAUUAAUGCAAUUACUAUUGUUCUUUUAUUCAAUUCAGCUUAUUCUUGUUCUAAGAUAUCACUUGUUCCUCAACUUGAUGAAUGUGAUGAUCCGUGAGACUCAUCAUCAUUCUCACCUAUGAACGUGUGCCUGACAACCACCUCCGUUCUACCUUAGAUUGAGUGGAUAUCUCUUGGAUCUCUUAAUCAGAAUCUUCGUGGUAUAAGCUGGAAUUGAUGGCGGCAUUCAAGAGAAUCCGGAAGGUCUAAACAUUGUCUGUGGUAUUCUGAGUAGGAUUCAAGGAUUGAAUGACUGUGAUGAGCUUCAAACUCGCGAUUGUGGGGCGUUAGUGACAGACGCAAAAGAAUCAAUGGAUUCUAUUCCGACAUGAUCGAGAACCGACAGCUGAAUAGCCGUGCUGUGACAGAGCGCGUUGAACAUUUUCACUGAGAGGAUGGGAGGUAGCCAUUGACAACGGUGAAACCCUACAUACAGCUUGCCAUGGAAAGGAGUAAGAAGGAUUGGAUAAAGACAGUAGGAAAGCAGAGAGACGGAAGGGACAGAGCAUCUCCAUACGCUUAUCUGAAAUUCUCACCAAUGAAUUACAUAAGUAUCUCUAUCCUUAUUUUAUGUUUUAAUAAUUAAUCCUCCAUAACCAUUUGAAUCCGCCUGACUGAGAUUUACAAGAUGACCAUAGCUUGCUUCAUACCAACAAUCUCCGUGGGAUCGACCCUUACUCGCGUAAGGUUUAUUACUUGGACGACCCAGUGCACUUGCUGGUUAGUUGUGCGAAGUUGUGAUAAAGAGUUGAGAUUGCAAUUGAGUGUACCAUGUUGAUGGCGCCAUUGAUGAUCACAAUUUUGUGCACCAAGUUUUUGGCGCCGUUGCCGGGGAUUGUUUGAAUUUGGACAACUGACGGUUCAUCUUGUUGCUUAGAUUAGGUAUUUUUCUUCAGAGUUCUUAAGAAUGAAUUCUAGUGUUUCAAGGUGAUGUUCUUAUCAUCACCAAAGCUGAUUGAUUCUCAUCAAUUUAGCUCUUGAAUGCAAUGUCCUGCUGAAGCUUGGCUAGCCAUGUCUAAUUUCUUUAGACUAAAGCUUUAGACUAACAUUGCAUGAUUCCUGGAAUUCUCAUUAAGAAUUUUGAUAUCCUUAUUUUCUUUUUAACUCAAUAUUCGAAAAAUCCAAAAAAAUUACAAAAUCAUAAAAACAAAAAAUAUUUUAUGUUUCUUGU